CUCCGUGGUUCCUGCGCUCCGGGUCCGCUACCUGGUGAAACUCGACUUCCGGGACAAGUGCUCCGUGGUCCCUGUGCUCCAGGUCCGCUACCUGGUGAAACUCGACUUCAGGGACACGCGCUCCGUAGUUUCUGUGCUCAAGGUCAACUACCUGGUGAAACUUGACAUCCAGGACGGGCGCUCCGUGGUUCAUGCGCUCCAGGUCCGUUAGCCGGUGUAACUCGACUUCAGGGAGAGGAUGAGGAGGACGAGGAGGUUGAGCAAGACGGGGAGAACAACAAGAAGGAGGUGAUUUAAGCUGGUUUGCGGUCGUUGGAUUUGUGCACGUAUUCGUGGUAUAACCCAACGUGGUUAACGGUGGUUGUUGGAGGUGGUUGGCGGUGGUUGGAGGUGGUCGGACGUGGUUAGGGGUGGUUGCGGCUGAUCGAGGUAGACGAGGAGGAGCAAGACAAGGAGGACGAGGAGAACAAGGUGGACGAGGAGGACGAGGAUUUCUG
rnacentral:lncRNA from 1 species